UGUCAUUUUGAUCCUCAGCUCUAGCAUUGCAAAGGAGGAGUGAGAAAACAGACCUGCUAUGUGGAAUGUAGGCAUGGCAAUUGCAAUUUCACAGCAAAUAGUUCUAUUAUUAGUGCUUCUUUAAGGAGUGACAGAUUUGUCUUGGGAAUUUCUUCUUCGCUGUCUUUGUUUCCUCUAAGGUCUGUAUAGUCCAGCAGAAUCAAUCUACUAAAAGAUCUGAUAGACCUAAAAAUGAUGAAAUAUCAUCCUCAUUCAUACCUCUUCCUCCUGUUUAUGAAAAGAGCCAAAGGAGUAAAGGAAGUGCAGGGAGUUUUAGUCCCUCUGUCAUGGGCAGAUAAGGAUCACAGUGCAUUUACUGGAAUCACCUUCAUGCUAAAACAACAGAGGACAAAUCUCUGCACUCACAGCAUUAUAUUGCACCCACUCAUUUGCUACAAGCAGGAAGAAAUUAAACGUGCAAUAACAUUUUGUUCAAAUAUAAAUGCUUUCAACUUUUAUGAUGUUAACUGUUUGAAAAAAUAUUUUUGAUAACAGCACUGUUUUUGUUUCACAGAUCUCUCCCCUUUCCCUGUAAGCAUCAAUCCCUCACAAUACUGAACAUAAGCUGUACAUGCAAAAAAAUUAUAUACAAGUUAACAAAGCCUAAGUUUAUUAGAAACCACAUCUACUUUCAUUUGAAAGUGGGUUUGUUAGCCUCAUCUGUAAGAGGGUAGUGACCGAAAGAAAAAGCAAUAAAGUGAGUAAAUUCUAAAUUGCUCAAAUUUAAAUUUGGUGAAUCCAUCCUACCUGGUCUGUCUUGUUGUGCAAGUCAGCAACAGAGUGUCGCAGUUUAACCUAGCAGAGGAGGGGAGUUCCCUUUUUCUUUACUAAAACUGCUCCUGUUCUCAGCCCAUGACCCUUUUUUUCAUCAUAUUUCUCUUUCUCCCCUCCCUCCCCUCUGUACUUUUGAGGAAGGGGAAGUGAGAGAACAGCAUGAUGGAGUUGGGCUUGACCACCCUUGGCACAGUCAAGUAUCACGCUCAGAUUAGGAGCAUGAAGGGCCACCAAAGUAUCACCAGAUUAUCUAGGAUACUCUCUCCAUUCUUCCCCCCAUUAUACAAUUAGGAAAGUAUUUUUUGUUUUGUUCUUUCAUUUAUGUUUUGUACUUUGGUCUCUCAGUUCUCAUUUUUUCAUGGUUUGUCCCCAUCUUUCAACUUCAUUCACUGGAAUGGCAGAUUUUUCUAACUCAUGCAAGAUGCUUUCCUCCAGAAUGGGAUUUUGUUUAGAGAAAACUCUCAGAGGUAAGACCAGUUACCAUGUUCCACGAGGUUACUAUUACAGUUGCUUUCUACAUCUUCCUCCUCUGACACCCCUGGCUGGUGUGUCCCCUGUUUACACCUUCUCACCAACAAGCUUUGGUCUUUGUUCUGAUCUGGAUGAGGUUUAUCCCAUGCAAUUCCCCCCUGACACAAAGCUGGGGGAUUGGAUAGGCAGCCAGCAAGCGAGCUGCUGUGGCAGCAGGGAGCACCACCAUCUCCAAGGUACACCAUGCUCCACCAAGCUCUGGCCGAAUGCAAGAAGCUCCCAGGACAGAGCUGAAACCAAGAUGUUCUCCUUCAGCUGCUGCAGGGAGACAUGCAAGAGUGAGGUGACUCUGUCUACAAGUGUUUGCUGUGAGAAACUUAGAACUGCAAAGGAAUGUGAAUUCUAGGGAGGGGAGUCAGAAAGGAAUAGUCUUUACAUAAUGACAGACAUCUGUGUAAUUUGCCAAAAACCCACAAGAUUUUUGUCUUCUGUAACAGGGGAGGACGUUACUCCCUAAAAUAUGUCAACAGGUGAGAUUUCUUGCCAACUUAACAACAGCAAAUUACAUAAGUGAUUAGGAAAAAAAUAAUUUCCAGUAAAACUAGAUAUAUUGCUACUGCAUUUGGUGAAAUCUCUGCACUGUCAUUUUAGCAGCUCUUCUCAGCAAUUCAGAGUAUUUCCACUUGAUGGCACCAAAUUUUUUUUUUUCCAACUUCAAAGAAUCCUUUAACAAAAGAGAUGCUGAAUUGCAAAGAAAUAAUCAGGACAAAUGCAUGUUUUUCUUUCUGAGCACAUUUCUUAAAAAUCUGGAGGUGUUUUUUUUGUUGUUGUUGUUCUUGUUUUUGUUUUUUUUUAAUAAGGAAUACAGUGAAUUUGAUGCGGUGGCUUUGUCUCUUCUAUUUGACCAUGACCACACAGUCAUUUGAGCUACUUACUUUUCUUCUCUGCUUAGAGUGUAUCUCCAUUCAGUGAAGGUUGUGUUUAUCAUAUUGUUAUAAAGUAGGCUCCUGAAUAUGGAUGAAUCAUGCAUUUUAAAAUAAAUUUUGUUUCUGUCCCUAUCUUUGAAACUCGUCCUUUGCUUAUCUUAAAAAUGAAGGGCACUCAAACAGAUUAUCACAAAAUAAAAGGCAAGUUUUUAAGGGUUGAAUAUUAAUUUUGACUCAUAUUCUAAACUGUCUGUUGUUUUUCAAUAGUAAUAUCUGAUGAGCAGUUCUCAGUAAAGUAACUACGGUAAAAACAACUUCUAUAAGCUUUACUUGUAUGUUAUAUACAGGCAGUAGAAGCACAAACAAGCAAAAAUGUAGUUUAAGUAGUUGUCCAAUUCUUGGAGAUUUCACAAGCUUUAGACAAUGUUCAGCAUCGUGUACAAUGUACCAGAUAAUAAUAGAUUAGGUACAGGAUAAUAUCAGAUUAGAGUAAAUAUCCAUUUAUUGUUUCUCAUCUCAUCUCCCAGCAAUAAGCCAUGUGAGGCAGAGCCAAGUCUUGUGUCUGGGUACCUGCAUGGGGGGUUGUCCUCUCUCCCCUAGGUUCGUGAUUAAGCCUCCUGGAUACAGCAGUGACAUAAACUAUGCACAGAACCACCUGUUGUGGUUCUACAGCUGCAAACCAGCAUUUUAGCUGUGUCUAAUGAAAUCUGUCUCAUUUAUCUCAGCAAAACAGAGAAUGCAGUGCAGCAUUGAUACAGGGAAGGCCUCGGGGAGUCCUGGCCAGAAGAGGAUAGGGAGGCAGGGACAGAUCAGAGUUCGGUGCAUGUCCUCAUCCAAAAUUAGGAUAUCAGUGAAGGGUUUCUAAGACAAAAGGCAAUCCCAAGAUUCUUCUGCCACAGACUGCAUUUUGUGCUAGAAUUUAUGUGAGUACAGUCUGCAAUGAACCUUCUAUACAGAGGUGUGUGCAUGCAAAACAAUUAGAAUGUGCUGCUGUUUUGGGCAGGUCCAAAUCAGCUGCUCUGUGCAAAGCUAGGCAGACAUUUCCCAGAUAUGUGACAGCUACUGUCACACACUACAGAGCUGCCCUGUGCCCAUGGGCAGUCACUCAUACAUGCAGAUACUCAGCAUGGUUGGAGCUGUCUGCUGCCAUGACUUGGCCGCCAGAUGUCCUGGUGUCUCAUUCAGCUUACAGCAAAGAGGACUUCUUUGGAAAAGCUUCAUCCAGAAGCUCCCCUCCCCUUCUGUCACCUGCCCUCAAGUUUUAAAUUGUUCCCAGUCCAGUCCUGCAUCUGCCUCUAAAGUACUUCUUUGGUUCUUGAAUGUUAAAGAAUUAUUCAGUUCAACCUUUCCAUCUAGCUCCAGCUUACAAAUCUAUGAUCUGACUUAUUUCCUAUUUCAGAAGUAUCUUUCAGCUCUAAUUUCCACAGUUUCUUCUGUGAGAAAGCAAGCCACUGGCCCAGUCCUGGUUUCCACCAGUAAUGUUUUCACACAAUCUUAGCUCCAUAUGAGACCUAUGCUUGAGGAUAUGAACAUUUCGAGUAGUUAAGGUUCUUGAGCCAGGACCUGAACUCAGCCACUCAGAUUAAUUGGUCUCAUAGGCUGGCCUUCCUCCUUAGAAGAACUGCAUGGAAGAAAGUCCAAUACUGAAAACAUGGAAGCACUCUUCAUGGAAAUACAGUUACUGUUUUAAACAAGUCUUUUAUUGUUUCUGCAUAACAACAUCACUUAUUACAGCUAACUAUUGAAAAACAAACAAACAAAAGCCAUUUUCAUUUGAUUUCACGUUCUUGCUCUAUAAUUUUGUCAUCCACAAUCCAGGAAGAAAAUUCUCUCACUCCAGUGCAGUGAAUUACUAUAUGACAUUUGUGAUGUCUCAUUUCCCACCAAAAAAAAAAAAAGAAAGAAAUUCAAGAGGCUGCAGAAAAAGCAUGAGUCUCCUUUCUGUCUUGUAGAGAGGCUGGAAAAUGCAAAGAACAAUCAUUACUAGCCAGAGCUUUAUUAGAAAUGAAAAAUAGCAUCUGGAAGCAAUGCUUGUCUUUUCCUCAGCAAAGAAAACUGCCAGCACCACAGCUUCUUCCAACACCACUUUGAGUAUCUAGAGUCCAACCCAAAGCAUCUCCACCUGCAAAGUCCUCCAGCACAACUCCACUUCUGCCCUACACGAGCUUAGUCAGCAGCUGUGUCUUCCCUAGCAUAGAAGUCUGACAGCCAAAUUUGUUUUUCUUGGGGAUGUUUAUCUCACUUAAACCCCUAAUUUUCUCUAUACAAUAGAGAUUAGUCAUGUUAACUCACAAUUAAAUCAGGUGUUAAUCCCAAAAAGAAAACUCUUAAUAACUCUUUCCCCUCCUACGUUCCAACAAACACUUUUGCCUGAUAAUAUAUCCAUGAUCUGUCACAUUUUAGCAACUAUUUACUGUGGUUCCACCUAAAUUUUUUAUCCCCUCAUUAUUAUCCCUGAAAAUUAUUUAAAGUUAGAAAUAGAGUCAUGAAGCAAACAUGCAUGCCAAUGCUAAAGAGUUCUGCAGGACAGGCAUUCCACCCAUGUACUGCUGUUUCUUAUUUUGUGUGUGACAAGGACUUCAUGUGUAAUUACUGAUGGUGUGAAACUUUGAAAACUACAGAUUCUGCAUUUAGAUUUUAGAUGAUUCUGGCUGCUUUGCUGCUAUACAAGGGUAUUUUUGCCCUGAUUGUGGUUGUCCCAAUCACAUCUGGGUGCCACACUCUAAGUUCUCUAAGAUGCAUAGUCUGUGCCAUUCUGCAUCUAUACUAAUUACAAGUGGCAGAAGCCAGGCUAGACCCAGCACCCUGCGUGUUUUGCCUUUCCCAGGUGAGAAAACAGCUGACCUUCUCCAAAGCUGGUGCAGAAGCCCAGCACAUGACCCUGUGGAGGGUGUAGGAGCUGAGGCCCUGAGACGGGCACAAGCCAGCGUGCAGGCCUGUUUACUGCAGCUGCAGGUUGUUAGCAGGCCUUCCAGUGCAUCCCUCCACAGAUCUCUAUCACUGUAAGCUGCCUCUCCAAGAUGCUAACGUACAAGCAGAGACAAAUUAACACUGACACUGGCUUUUGUGCUAAUGCCAGAAAUGUAUUUUGCAAGAGCAGAAGCUGCUGAAGAAGCUGAAGUGGAAGUAGAGGUGGAAGGAGUUAAUCUGUGCAGGAUCUGAAGCAGCUAAGUGGUUGGCAAUCCAGGAAGCUGCUCACUUCCGAAUGGUAUUGGGCAAAAGACAGAGAUAUCAGAGGAGUAAGGGUCUCAAGUGGCAAGUUCACUGAAGCAGAGGAAAAAUCCAGAUACGUUGGUUUUGCUGUUUCAGUCUUAUUGUUCUGUCAAGAGAAAGACCUUUCAUACAAAGAAGUGCUUUCAAUGAGAUAAAUCAGGAACCCACAGAGGCAGCUCUGUACGUGAGUAACCCAGUUAUACCUAUUUCACUGGUAAAUGUGACAUUAUGGUGACUAAGACCACAAGAGGAUGAGACACAAAAGAAAUACAGAAGAGAAGAGAUUACAAAAAUAUACAGUAAUAUCAGUGAUAUACAUAUGAAGUAGAAAGGUAUUAACAAGCAAGAUCCUCCUGGAUGACAUGCUUGAUCACAUAAGGAAUGAGCAUGUGAUCUCAGACAGCCAGCAUGGCUGCACCAAGGGAAGGUCAUGCUUGACCAAUCUGGUGGCCUUCUAUGAUGGAGUGACGGCAUCGGGGGACAAGGGAAAAUGACCAAUGUCAUUUACCUGGACUCAAACAAGGCCUUUGACAUGGUCCCCCACCACAUCCUUAUCUCCAAAUUGGAGGGAUGUGGAUUUGAUGGGUGUACCACUCAAUGGAUAAGAAACUGGUUGAAAGACUGCAGACAGAGGGUGGUCAUCAGUGGUUCUACGUCCAUGUGGAGGCCGGUAACGAGCAGCAUCCCCCAGGGGUCUGUCUUGGGACCGGUGCUCUGUAACAUCUUUAUCAAGGACAUCGAUGGUAGAAUCGAGUGGCCCUGGGCAACCUGGUCUAGUAUUAAAUGGGGAGGUUGGUGGCCCUGCCUGUGGUGGGGGGUUGGAGAUUCAUGAUCCUUGAGGUCCCUUCCAACCCUGGCCAUUCUGUGAUUCUGUGAAUCAAGUACUAAACACGAAAUGCAUCAGUAUGCCAGCAGACAUUCCAGCUUAGAAACAGAAGCAUGCAGCAAAGAUAUUACAGAGUAUUUUUUACAGAUGUGUAUUACAUCAAGAAGGAAGGGAAUGUGUAGCGCUAUAGACAUGGUGACACAGUGCAAAGCAUCUUAACGAGCAUCCCCCACUGACAAACAGAAACAGCUCAAGUCAGAAGGCACACAACUGAAGAACAUCUCCAAAAAAAGUAAUGCAACAGCAGUGAAAGUAUGUUGCCUAUGUUUGCCUACUAUACAAGCUAAGAACUGCAUUUUGGUACGGCACACACAAAUACAUGAACAAAUCCAGAAAAAAAAAAAAAGAAUUUUAAAAUGGAUGCUGGAACACAAAUAAGCUUUUGAGAAAGAAGGUAGAGUUUGUACCAUACCAUGAGAUUAUUUUGGGAAAUGUGAUUAACGGGAUCUACAACAGAGCAGGCACAGAAAGAAAAUAUGAACAGCACCUCUGUGCAUGAGGACUUACCUGCAAACGUGGCACAUGAAGGAUGAUACAUUUACUGAAACUUCUACCAGGAAAAGAAUGUGAAAGGACAUCUCACAGCUGAGGGGAAAAAAAAAAAAAAAAAAAAAAAUGUUGUGUGAAAAGAAAGGGUAUCAAUAAUUAGUCAUGGCAUUUCUGAAUGCCAUCUAUUUUCUGAGGAAUGCGUAAUAUAUGGGUGGAGUUGAGUGACAUAGUCAUGUGCCUUCCAGCAUAGGAAGGUGUUAUUUGGCUAACUUUAUUUAGCUAAGUUAGUUCGAAUGCUUAUGACUAUGCUCAGGUAUCACCAGCUGAUCACAACUCCUCAAUGAUAAUUUAGUUAGUAAAUUAAUAAAUAAAGAAGGCAAAACUAACUAAGGCACAUUUCAUGCAACCAGUUUUAGAAGAGAUGAAUCACUCUAUGAAUGCUUUUUCUCUCCAUAAGGGGAUUCUGGACAUUGGUAGACAAUUAGACCAUGAAUGCCUUCUAUUAGGGCACAAAAAAACACUGCUUUCUAAUUAUCCUCCAUAUCUGUUGAUCAGACUUACUGGGCAUAAUGUGUGUGUUUUGAAGUCUUGCUUGUACCACCUGUUUAGUUUGAAUUUUCUUUUGCUGUGAGCAGUUUGACCUAUGACGACAUGUUAAGAUAGAAUCAGUGACACUAAGUACCACGAAUUGGUGUCAUCACAAUGAGUACGGAAAAAAUAUAUGUAACAGCCUUCUAAAUACUGACCUCCAAAAGUAGUAUGGCUGCAAUCAAACUGCUCAGCGGGAGCGGUCUCCAGCCUUGCCCUGAAAUUGGUUGGUUGGCACAUGGUAGAUGAUGCUGGUGACAGGCUAGCAGUUAGGUAGCGUGACUGAGAUUCAGUGCCAGGAAGGUUCCCAAGCUCUACCUGAUCAGCAGUUUUGGAAGUAGCCAGUGCCACCACUCUAAUAGCAAGGACAGGAUCUGUUUUCUAUUUCCUAAACUUGAGCCUAUGUCUCCAUUGGGAUGUUAUUUCUGAGCAGCUUCUGAUGCUUGAGGACUUCCUGCAAGCCAAGUGCAUCUGUGCAGGGUCCCAAGCUUGGAUAGUGACAAGACACGGGUAUCUUUGAGAGGAAUUAACAAAGCCCCAGAACAAAGUAUUUUGAUUCAGGUUUGGAUGAAUACAUGUGUUUUUUUUUUUCCCUGUGUGUGUGUUUGUGUCUGGGGGGUAGGGAAGAGUUAACUACUUAUGCAAAAUGAAAUUAUAGGGAAAAACAAGUUGGUAACCUUGUGUUUCCCCUAAAACUUCCCACUGAAUUUCAGCUAUUUGCUUUCAAUUACCAGUCCCUCCCCCACAAAAAAAAAAAAAAAAAAAAAAAAAAAAAUUGCUUAAAUCUCUGCCCUUCACAAAUGAAUCACUGAGCAAAGACUUAGUUCAAUUGGAUUUCACAGAGAUGACAGGAUCUGUCAGUGACUUUAACAAUGAAGGUUUUCUCCUACAUCUAGUUUUGUAUGCCAAGUUUCUUGGUGCUUCACCACAGCCUUAGACACAAUCCGUGUAAUUCCAGUGCAAAAGUCUAACUCAAGAGUGUUUCUUCAGUGUGGGGAGGGAUCUGCUAUGUACAAUUUAUAAGCAAAACAGUCACCCACCUAAUCAUUAUGAGGAGUUAAAUGAGCACAUAAUUCAAGGAUAUCUUGUAAUGACCCACUUUUGUCUUUAAUAUGGACGAAUAUAAGAUGAUAGCAUUAGUGGUCUGAUUGGGAUUUAAAAGAAAAAAACAACACAAUUUUGAAUUCCAUCUGUCUUCCUUGACAACAAGUUCCUUCAGUGGUGUGAAAAUGGUUCAGGACAGAAAAGCCAAUACCAGAACACUUUUCCAGCUAAUAGAUAUCAAACCCCUGCAUGUUUUCAUGUGACAAAGAUCAGUAAAACAAAGAAAGAAAACCAACCAGGAUGUGCUGCUCCCUCACAAGGAUCACUAGAGCUCAGUCUUGGCUGUGUCCAUCACGAAGUCUGCAUACCACAGGAUCUAGCCGUGUAAAGCACAGAGAACUGAGUUAGAUCCUUAGGCCAUUGAGUCACAUUUGAAGCCUAUUCCCUUUUAUAGGAUAAUAGCCUAUACAAUAUAUAAGCAGAAAAUUGGCAGCUCCUUUACACUGCUAUUAGUGUUAAUAGCUAAUGAACUAUAAAAGCGACAGGGUUUUUUUUUUUCCCCAAUUGAUUAAUUUAAAUUUAACCUUAAUUUGUUUAGAUCUCACUGAGAAGCCGCUACCUUAUUCUGAGCUACAACUGUUGCAAUUAGCAGAAGUAUCCCACUGUGAAUAUAAGGCUGAUUGCAUGCUAUGCAUCUAUUGUGAGAUGACACUGCUUAGAUGUCUGUUGAAGAGAUCAGACAACUAACUCCAAAAAUACAGGAUUAUUUGCAAAUAUUUAGUCAGCAGCAUAAUCUGAAAUGGACUGUUUCCAUUUCAAAAAACAUACGCAUGUUUUAUAGCAUGGUAACAUGUUGUGGGUGGAAAAUAUUGCGUGCCUUAUUUAUUCCGUCCGCUGUUUCUGAGACUCAUUUCUACAGCUAUGAACAAAAUGUUUAUUUUUUUGUGAUACAUUUCUGUUCUCCUCUUUUCAUCUUCAGAAUUCUUACCACGUGGAUUCUAACAUAGCAUCUCUGCAGAGCAAGUAGAUUUAUAAAGAAGAUGUAACACUUGAGGGAAGUUUGUGUCACCGUUAAAGCAGUACAGGAAUGAGGGGAGGGGUGUGUGUAAAUUGUUUGUAGGUGCUGUUUUGAUGCUACAUGAUUUUGUUGUUGGGAAUUCAUUUUGCUGAUAUAAGAGAAGUUUGUGAAGUUUAGGUGAUAAAUCUUUAUAAAGAUUAUUGUAAUGUGUUAUUGUAUGUAUCUAAUGCAGAUUUCUAUCACGAGCUUUCAAACACCCAUAUCUCACUCACACUGGUGCCACCUUCAGUGGAUGGCAAAUUUAAGACACUUAUGUAGAGUUUUUAAUGAAAAUAAACUAUUUAAAAAUA